rnacentral:rRNA from 1 species
GACGAACGCUGGCGGCGUGCCUAAUACACGCAAGUUGAGCGAUGAAGAUUGGUGCUUGCACCAAUUUGCAGAGCAGCGAACGGGUGAGUAACGCGUGGGGAAUCUGCCUUUGAGCGGGGGACAACAUUUGGAAACGAAUGCUAAUACCGCAUAACAACUUUAAACAUAAGUUUUAAGUUUGAAAGAUGCAAUUGCAUCACUCAAAGAUGAUCCCGCGUUGUAUUAGCUAGUUGGUGAGGUAAAGGCUCACCAAGGCGAUGAUACAUAGCCGACCUGAGAGGGUGAUCGGCCACAUUGGGACUGAGACACGGCCCAAACUCCUACGGGAGGCAGCAGUAGGGAAUCUUCGGCAAUGGACGAAAGUCUGACCGAGCAACGCCGCGGGAGUGAAGAAGGUUUUCGGAUCGUAAAACUCUGUUGGUAGAGAAGAACGUUGGUGAGAGUGGAAAGCUCAUCAAGUGACGGUAACUACCCAGAAAGGGACGGCUAACUACGUG